UCUCUCUGAAUCUGCGAACGGCUCCGCAAACCAGUUGUAAACAAAAGCAAGCAUGUCCGUUGGUGGGUCCUCUCGGGGGCCCAUCGGAGAUUAUAUGGAUACCCGUGGUAAUUCUGAGGCUAAUACAUGACAAUGUUCCUGGCUAUUGGGGCGGCGCCACCUGGUCUUCGGAUUGGGGAGGCUGCUCCGGUGGUCGGGGAUGCGCGAAGGGUAGCUUGGCACAAUCGGGAAAGAACGCGCGUUCGGACCAUCAUUUCAAGGGUGUCUGGCGGAACUGGGGGCCCUCUGGGGCCCUCGGGGAUGCUGGGCGCCUGGUGGCUCUUGCGAUGUGCUUCUGACCUAUCAACUAGACGGCAGCGUAACGGACAUGCUAUGGUAACAACGGGUACAGAGGAUCAGGGUUUGAUCCUGGAGAGUGGGCCUGAGAGAUU
rnacentral:rRNA from 1 species